rnacentral:rRNA from 1 species
UACGAAGGGGGCUAGCGUUGUUCGGAAUUACUGGGCGUAAAGGGCGCGUAGGCGGCUCUUCAAGUCAGCCGUGAAAUCUCCAGGCUUAACCUGGAAAGGGUCGGUUGAUACUGUCGAGCUAGAGUGUAGAAGAGGCAACUGGAAUUCCGUGUGUAGCGGUGAAAUGCGUAGAUAUACGGAGGAACACCUGCGGCGAAGGCGG